GUAUGCCCAGCAAGAUAUUUUGGUGUCAACUGUUCCCAAAUCUGUGACGAGCGGUGUGUUGAUCAAAUGUGUAACAGCAAAGACGGCAGAUGUGUAGAUUGUCUGCUGGUAAACUUGGGGAUUUCUGUGAGACAGAGUGUGCCGCCACCUACUACGGAGAAAACUGUAAACAAAGAUGCUCCAAAAGUUGUGUUGACCAGUUGUGUCACGUGGAAAAUGGUUCCUGUCUCAGCUGUCCACACGGCUAUACGGGAAUCUUCUGUCAGAUGGGCUUAGAAAAAACAACUGAAAUCCUUUGCACAGACGAAACUUCAGAUUGUCUUUUCCAAGUUCCAGAUCAAGUUUCGGGCAA